UGUUUUGAGCUAGAACAGAAAUGCUGGUUUAAUUCCAAAGUUUACAUGCAGCAAUGCUGUGGGGUCAGUAAGCUCUGGAGAGGGGAAGGAUGGACCUUUAGAUGUAGAUCUCACUAAGUGAAAAACUAAGUGUUUGGAAGAGUUAAGUGGCCUGGUGUUCAGUGACACCAUCUAACAACAAACCUCUCUUAUUUUGAAGGAAGGAAGUAGCUGAAGACACUGGCUGCAUCUCUGUGUCUCUUGGAGGUCACUUGCUGAUUUAUCUCCAAUUCACAGCUCAUUAGAAAGUGUGUAACUCUUCAGAGAUGUUGUUAUUUAACAGGCAAAGAUAAAGCCUUGAAUGACAAUCAGCCAGCGGAGCCACAAAGGGCAGCUGUAGUUUUUGCUCCCUGCACAGGAGGGUGCUCAGCCUCUGUCUUUAUCUGCAGGAAGGAGCGAUUCCCGUGGUCAUCAGAACCAAGUGGAGAAGCUGUUUCCUGAACUGGGCUUUUCUUGUAGUGACACUGGAGGAUCUGUUAAAUCCAGUGACUCAUAAAUUAUUCAGCUGUUCAAGAAUUUCGGGAGGUGUGUGUUAAUUGCUGCUGUUAGACCAUUACCGAGGUAUUUAGGUCAGAAGAUGUAAUGAUCAUGACGUUGGUAUUCUCUAAUGGGUGUCCUUAAAGGUGCCAGAAUUUUCAAUAGGAUCUUUGAAGUUUCUCAGAAUUAGGGGUUUUUCCCCCUCUAAUUUGCUCAUCUGAACGUGUGAAUCCCCAUGUGAAUCGUUGAAUUGAACAGUGAAUUCUCAUGUGUGUAAACAUGAGUGGAUUUACCAGGAAGGAGUAGAUGAGUUUGUUAAUUUAUAUUCCAUUUGUAGUACCUGCUAGUAAUUAUAUCCUUAAUUAUUCAGUAUUUUCCUUGUUAAAUCACAGAAGAUCCUGAGUUGGAAGGGACCCACUGGGAUCAUCAAAGUCCCACUCUUGGCCCUGCACAGGACAGCCCUAGCAAUCCC